rnacentral:piRNA from 2 species
UGCCUGAGUCAUCUGUGUUCUCCAUAGUC